rnacentral:rRNA from 1 species
AAACUUUAAGGCAUGGCGAGUAGGGCGGAGGGAAAAAGAAACUAACAAAGAAUUCCCCCUAGUAAGCUGCGAGUGAAGCGGGAAAAGCUCAAAUUUAAUAUCUGGUGGCCCUUUGGUCAUCCGAGUUGUAGUCUGGAGAAGUGCUUUCGCGCAUUGGACCGUGUAUAAGUCUCUUGGGAAUAGAGCGUCAUAGAGGGUGAGACUCCCGUCUUUGACACGGACUACCAGUGCUUUGUGAUGCGCUCUCAAAGAGUCGAGUUGUUUGGGAAUGCAGCUCAAAAUGGGUGGUAAAUUCCAUCUAAAGCUAAAUAUUGGCGAGAGACCGAUAGCGAACAAGUACCGUGAGGGAAAGAUGAAAAGCACUUUGGAAAGAGAGUUAAACAGUACGUGAAAUUGCUGAAAGGGAAACACUUGAAGUCAGUCGUGUUGUUUGGAACUCAGCCUUGCUUUUGCUUGGUGCACUUUCUGAAUGACAGGCCAGCAUCAAUUUUGACCGUUGGAAAAAGGUAGGGGGAAUGUGGCACCUUCGGGUGUGUUAUAGCCUCUUGUCACAUACAACGGUUGGGAUUGAGGACCGCAGCACGCCGCAAGGCAGGGGGUUUCCCACUUUCGUGCUUAGGAUGCUGGCAUAAUGGCUUUAAAUGACCCGUCUUGAAACACGGACCAAGGAGUCUAACAUGCCUGCGAGUGUUUGGGUGGAAAACCCGAGCGCGUAAUGAAAGUGAAAGUUGAGACCUCUGUCGUGGAGGGCAUCGACGCCCGGACCUGACGUUCUCUGACGGAUCCGCGGUAGAGCAUGUAUGUUGGGACCCGAAAGAUGGUGAACUAUGCCUGAAUAGGGUGAAGCCAGAGGAAACUCUGGUGGAGGCUCGUAGCGAUUCUGACGUGCAAAUCGAUCGUCAAAUUUGGGUAUAGGGUCGAAAAGACUAAUCGA